ACGCUCGACACCUACGGGGGGCAGCAGUGGGGGAAUAUUGCACAAUGGGGGAAACCCGUGAUGCAGCGACGCCGCGUGAGCGAAGAAGUAUUUCGGUAUGUAAAGCUCUAUCAGCAGGGAAGAAACUGACGGUACCUGACUAAGAAGCACCGGCUAAAUACGUGCCAGCAGCCGCGGUAAUCUGAGGCGGGCGUGGCAAGGC
rnacentral:rRNA from 1 species